UCACUUAACCCAAAACCAACCUUGUGGUAGAGAACUAAAUGAAUAAUUCAAAUAGGAAAAUAAAGGAUUUAAGACCUAAUGCCAACUUAUGGUAGAGAACCAUGAAUAUCAAAGUAUUAAUUCUUGCAAGUGAUUUAGACUUGUCAAGAGCAGAAGUUUAAUGAAAAGCUAUAGAUGAGAAAACUCUCUCACUAAUCAAUUAAUUAAUAUCUCAAAGUUGUGUUUACAGCUCUAAAAUAAUCUAUUUAUAUGCAUCUACUAAUAUAAAGUAGAAAUAACUUAAAACCUUAGGAAUAUUAAAAGUCAUAUACAUAAUG
rnacentral:misc_RNA from 1 species